GAGGAGAGGAUACAGGAGGAGGUGGAAGCCAGGCAGGAGGAGGAGGGAGGGGUAGAACAAGAGGAGGGGGAGGUAGAGGAGGAGGUGGUAGAGGCAGCGGAAGAGAAUGUGGAGGAUGUAGAUGAGUUGGAGGAGCAGAUAAAGGAGGUGUUUCUCAAAGGAUUGCUGCCAGAUGAGUCAGGGGAAGAUGAGGGACUAAAAGAGGAGAGUAUGGAAGAGGCAGAGGAAUCUGAAAAAGGGUGGUCAAAUGUGGCAAGCACCUCCUCUGUGGUACGGAGAGUAGAUUUGAGGACCCAGAAUAGUGUGACUAUAGUGAAAGAGAUGAGGCAACAAGAAGGAGGGAUGGAGGAGGAGACGCUGGAACAGGUGGCGGUUUCAGACGAGGGAUUGAAAGAGGAUGAAGGAUGGUUAGAGGAGAGGAAGCAUCAGGCUUUGGUGGAAGGGUUGCCAGAGGGGCUUGAGGAAAGGAGAGGAGAGAUAAGAGUGGAAAGGAGGAGGAAGAAGGUGACUAUAGUUACACAGGAUGAGAGUCUUCCAGAUGAACUAGAGAAGAAAGCAUCUGAGAAGUUGUCAGAGGACCAGAUAGGAGGCCAUUUUUAUAAAGAGGGACAACUUAUGGUGAAAUUCAAUGAACUAUUUGCGGCAGAGAAGUUAGGGUUACCGAUAGUUACAAUUCAGCAGGAGUGGCUCCAAGAACAGGAAAAGGUCAGGGAGGAGAAACAGGAGGAGAGAGUGGAACAGGUGAAGAUUUCAGGCGAGGGAUUGAUAGAGGUGAAAGGAGGUCUAGAGGAUAGGAUGCGGCAGAUGUCGGAGGAAAGGUUGCGAGAGGGAGAGCAGACUGUGGUGAAAACCAAGAAAACAGUGAGAAUAGUGGAAGAAAUGAGGAGAACACAGAAGACACUCGAGGAAAAGUCAUCAGAGGACAUUUUAUCAGAGGAAAGGCUGGGAGAUGGUUUUUAUACAGAGGGGGAAGUUUUGGUGAAAUUCAGAAAGGAUGUGGAGAGGGUUCCACAUAGAGUCAGACAAAUGGAGAAGCCCCAAGAAGAAGAAGAAGAAGAAGAAGAGGUAGUGGAAGUGAAUAUGCAGCCAUCCCAGCCAGAAGACAAGGACGAUUGGGUUGUGCUGCUGGACAGCCUCCCACACAAGACUCUUUAUAAGCCUCCAGUCAUGCCAGCCGACUCCGCUCUGGUGCCUGUGGUCUCCACAAGAUUCUCUGUGGUGUUAGUAGACACGGUCGAGCAGAGAGCACCAGAGAGGGAAUGCAUUGAAGUGGAGGCCACACAGCAACAGCCUGAAAGGGGAUUGGUGGAAGGACGGAGAUUGUGGCAAAUGCAGGAAGAUGAUUGGUUUAUGCUCUUGGACCUGGUUGAUCGUGUUCCUUCAGGUGUACCAACCACACCAGUUUCAGCUUCUUUGCAAGAGCAAGUUCAGGUGUACGUAGAUGAAACCAUCUCUUCCAUGGUUAAAGUGAUGACAGCGGUGCAGAGAGAGGAGACCAGGGUGACUGUAGUGGAGGAGAUGGAGUUACAGGAAGACCAGAGCCGUCUGGAACAGAAACUGUCACAGAGAGAGAUGGAAGAUGGCUGGUUUGUUUUGCUGGACAUUGUUCCCAGAGAACCAUCUGUGAUUCCGUCAGUUUCCCUGGCUGUUAGCGAUAGGGUAUACCCAGAGGUUGUGCCCGCCAAACAUCUGACCAUUGAGCCUGAACCAAGAGUGUUUGUGGUGGAAGCAGUCCGAUUACUUCCUGAAGACUUUGCCCUGGAGGGUAAGGCAACACAACCGCAGAGAGAGCAGGAUGAUGAUUGGUUUUUGCAGCUGGAUGUUGCCCCUAAAGUAGCAGGUACUUUGACCAUUCUAAGCUUGCUGUUGGCCACUCGAAAUACAAAUACCAACCCUUCUCUUGCAUCCAAAGGCUCUCAAUUGUUGUGUGAGCCUAUUGACUAUCCACAAAAGCUUUUGG
rnacentral:lncRNA from 13 species